rnacentral:rRNA from 1 species
AGAGUUUGAUCAUGGCUCAGAGCGAACGCUGGCGGCGUGCUUAACACAUGCAAGUCGAGCGCGAAAGUGAUCUUCGGGUUGUGAGUAGCGCGGCGAACGGGUGCGUAAGACGCGGGUGACCUAUCCGAGAGGCGGGGAUACCCCUUCGAAAGAGGGGCUAAUACCGGAUGAGCCCACAGGCGGAAACGCUAGGGGGCAAAGGGUGCGGUUUGCUAGUCGCAUCUCUUCUUGGCGGGGCCCACGGCCUAUCAGCUAGUUGGUGGGGUAACGGCCUACCAAGGCGAAGACGGGUAGCUGGUCUGAGAGGAUGGCCAGCCACACGGGGACUGAGACACGGCCCCGACUCCUACGGGAGGCAGCAGUGGGGAAUAUUGGGCAAUGGGCGCAAGCCUGACCCAGCGACGCCGCGUGCGGGAUGAAGGCCUUCGGGUUGUAAACCGCUUUGGUCCGGGAAUAAGGACGGAGCAAUCCGUCUUGAAUGACCGGAGAAACAAGCACGGGCUAAGUUCGUGCCAGCCGCCGCGGUAAUAC